UCAGAGGAUGUUGAGCUGUCCGUGGUGAGU
rnacentral:piRNA from 1 species